UACGUAGGGUGCAAGCGUUGUCCGGAAUUAUUGGGCGUAAAGAGCUCGUAGGCGGUUUGUCGCGUCUGCUGUGAAAACCCGAGGCUCAACCUCGGGCCUGCAGUGGGUACGGGCAGACUAGAGUGCGGUAGGGGAGAAUGGAAUUCCUGGUGUAGCGGUGGAAUGCGCAGAUAUCGGGAGGAACACCGGUGGCGAAGGCGGUUCUCUGGGCCUUACCUGACGCUGAGGAGCGAAAGCGUGGGGAGCGAACAGG
rnacentral:rRNA from 1 species